rnacentral:lncRNA from 1 species
UUCACCUUGUGGUGUAAAAUGAAUCUUUUGGAAAUCCAACAAGUGCUUUUGAGGUGCAUUGUGAACUGAGGGUGGUGUAGUGAAUAACAAAACAGUAUGGCUUCCUUUCACUUUCUUGACAUUUUGAACUUUCAAGUGGAUAUCAUCAACAAUAGAGAGGAAAAAACUCUUUUUAUCAUGAGUAGGAGUCUUGUAAGGAUCCCAUACAUCAAGAUGUAUCAAUUCUAAGGAAAAUGACUUCUAGAGAAGCUAGUUGGAAAUACCAAUCUACUUUGCUUAGCUAAUGGACAUACUGGGCAAUCUGUAGUUGCAAAACUAUUUGAGUCUGUUUUCUAAAUCAACCCAAGUCUCUUCAUGACUUGUAAUGAAGGAUGACCUAGUCUUUGGUGCCAAAGUUCAGUAUCCCCUGCUUUAACUGAAGAAAGUUUGGCACUAUUAGUUGAGUACACAUCAUGAGACUUGACAAUGUACAAGAUUCCUUCCUCUUUACCAAUCCCCCUCACCCUACCAUUGUAAAGAUUCUGAAAUAUACAAAAGUUAGGGAAAAUGUGACAGAGCAGGACAUGCUCUUGGUUAGUUUGGAAACUGAUAUCAAGUUGAAUUUAAAGUCUGGGACACAUAAAACAUUGUCAACCUUCAGGCCUUCUAGGAACUCAGUAAUUUUCUAUAUGAGUGAUAUUAGACUUUCCACCAUUUGGUAAGUGAAUCUGUUGAUUACUAGAACAGUGAAUCUCAAUUGGAUCAUUUAGCAUGCCCAGAUUAGAUGCAACAUGAUGAGUGGCACCAGAAUCUAUGAUCCAUUCCUUUGAACUUUGAAGAGAAUGCAGUUAAUAGAGAUGUAACAGUACCUGCCAGGUUGUGCUGGUCUAUAUGCUCAUUCUUAUCAUUCAUCAUUUCCUGAAUCUGCUUGUAUUGUUCAUCUGAAAACAUAGGACCACUUCUCCCAUAUAAUUGUUCCAGUUGUUUGUAUUGUUCAUCUGUGAAGGCCUGAUUACCAGCUCCAUUCUUCAUUGAGCAGCUCCCUUCAUUUUCAACUGCAUAGUGUCUCCUAUCAUCACUCACAACAUUAUUUGCAUUGAAGUUCUCCUAUCUCUCAAAAUGUGGAUUGUAUUGUUUGUUGUUAUUAUUUGCAGCAUAGUUCUUCUUCCUGAAGUCAUCAUCAGGAACCCUUUUUUGUUCUUCUGGACGACCAAUUAACCAGUAGCAAUCUGCUUUCACGUGUCCUCCUCGUCCACAAUUAUCACACUUGACAAAGGGCUUCUUACCUCUAUAAGGUUGGCCUCUAUUGAUUUUCAAGGCAAGAGGUUCAUGGACAUGAUCUUUGGCUUUCAUCUUCUCUAAGCAUUGCAUAUGCUUGAUUUAGUGAUGGUUCAACAGUUUUGAGCAACAAUUGCCUGCGUACUUGCUCAUAAGAGUCAUUCAAACCAUUAAGAAACUGCAGUAAUCUCUGGCCCUGUAAGUGUUUAAUGUAAUCCCUAGAUUUCACGUAAUUACAUCCAGGUGUGGGAACCACAUCAUCAUAUUCAGCCCAAAGUUCUCUCAGACUUGUAAAAUACGUAGAUACAGAAUCAGUUACUUGUGAUAUCGUCGCGAUCUCUUGAUGUAACUGGAAAAUUCAAAUUCUAUUUACCUUAUCGAAUCUCUUCUUCAGAUCCUCUCAUACAAGAUGCGCAUUUGACGAAUACACGAUCCUACUAAGAAGAUGUGCAGAAACUGUAUUCAUGAUCCUGGACAGGACAAUUGCAUUGCAGGUCUCCCAAUCUUCAUGUAGAUCAGUACCGAAUUGAUCCUUCUUACAGGUCCCAUUAACAAAUCCCAAUUUUCUUUUUGCUAGCAAGGCAAUCGUCAUAGAUCGUCUCCGUAACCCGUAAUUUUUAGAUCCGGUUAAUUUUGUGGGAAUUAACACUGAUUCUGGAGUAUCUGACGGAUGAACAAACAAUAAAUGAAUGUGUAUUAUUAAUUUUCUCAGCAGUUACCUGAGUCUGUCGAUCUUCAGCUGCUUUUGUUCAUGAGUUUCCAGCCAUUUGUAAUCGCAAUUGAAAAUCCUAUUUGAUUUGAGCGUAUGAUCCAAGUCACGACUGCUCUGAUACCAUGUCAAUUUUCAUACUUAGCUUGUGAGUUCAAGCUCUAUUUUAAUUUUGUGGGAAUUAACACUGAUUCUGGAGUAUCUGGCGAAUGAACAAACAAUGAAUGAAUGUGUAUUAUUGAUUUUCUCAGCAGUUACCUGAGUCUGUCGAUCUUCAACUGCUUUUGUUCAUGAGUUUCCAGCCAUUUGUAAUCGCAAUUGAAAAUCCUAUUUGAUUUAAGCGUAUGAUCCAAGUCACGACUGCUCUGAUACCAUGUCAGUUUUCAUACUUAGCUUGUGAGUUCAAGAUCUAUUAAUGGCGGAAGUGUGUUUGAGAGAAGAUAAAAAGGAGAAUAUUAUUUCGUAUUGGUCUAACUCUUCUGUACAACCACAUGCAAGUAUUUAUAGUGUGAUCAACUAAUCAUCACCACUAGAUACAGCUCAGCAUCAAAGUCAGUUAUUAGUCUAACUAACUUUGAUCUUCCACUAACUAAGGCUAACAACUAAUUAACAAAAAAGGUCAGCCUAACUAACUAACUAACUUCCUUCAAUACGGAUAUAUUGAUUGUUUUGGUAAACAACUGUAAAAGAUUACCAUUACCAUCAAAAUUCGUACAAAUAAAGAGCACCUAUGCCUUGUAACAAGGAUUAGGCCUCCUACAAAGCAAAAAACUUAAUUACAAAGUAAAAGUUGAACAAAACUCCUACAACUCUGUGUUUUCUUUGAACUACUAAGAAAUUAUAAUCUCUCUAUAAUCUCCUUUUUGAUCUGUGUUGCCGCCUCCUUUAUAUGUACAGACUUGCCUUUGAACUUUUUCCAAUUCCUGGCUCUCCAUAUGUGAUAUACGAUUGCUCCACAAGUAGCCGCAAUAGUCUCCUUCUUAACUUUCUUCCAGUGCUUCAACCUUAUUCUUUCCAGUGUCUGCUUGAUCCCAUUGAUUUGCAACGCUAUUCCUGUCCAUUUUUCCACCUCUUUCCAUAUAGCCUGUGCCCACUCACACUUCACAAAUAAGUGUAUUGUAGUCUCCAUGACCUUCUUAUCACAAAGGCAGCAAUCAGUGUCCUCCACCUGAAUGUGUAAUUUCAGUUUCCUCUCCUGCGUGAGUAAUCUUCCUUGUACAGCCAACCACGUUAUGAAUCUAUGUUUAGGUAGAGCCAUAGAUGUCCACGCUAGCUCAGCAGUUCUCAUACGUGGUUGUUGGCCAAUCAGUGCUAAGUAACUGCUAGUGAUGGAAUAUUUUCCAGUUUGUGUGAGCAUGUAUCUUCCUUGGUUAUACCAACCCCGCAUUUGGACCUUGAUUGCAUUUAGCUGCCUCCAAUACCAGCUACAAUCUACAGGUGUAUUAUGUUUCCAUAUUGUUGCUCCAUCUUUCAUAUAUAUCCCAUGUAUCCACUUUACCCAUAGGGACUCCUUUUCCUCAAUUAUUGCCAUAACAAUUUCCUACUGAUGCAAUAUUCCAGAUGCUGCUACUUUUGAUAUUUAAUCCACCUUGUCUCUUUGGAUAACAGAUUUUUUCCCAAGAUACUAGAGCUAUCUUUCUCUUAUCAUUAGCUUUGCUCCACAAGUAAGUCCUACAAAUCUUGUCUACUUCUUUAAGUAUGCUUUGGGGUAGGAUAAACACUGCCCCCCAAAAACUAUGGAUGGAAAAUAAUACUGCAUUUAUCACCUGCAGUCUACCAGCAUAGGAUAGUUGUUUUGAAUAAGUCACGGUAAUUCUGUGAGUAAUCUUAUCAAUCAGUAAGAAGCAAUCAACUUUAUUCCACUUUCUUGGCGAUAGUGGAAGUCCCAAAUAUUUAAUAGGAAAUUCACCCCUCGAGAAACCGGUUCUAGCCAAGAUCUGAUCCCUUGUUUCCUCAUCCACACCAGCCAUAAAAACACUUGAUUUUUCCAUGUUAGCCUCCAAACCUGUGGCAGCACUAAAGAGAUUUAAUGCCUCCAUCACUCUAUUUACUGAAGCCAAAUUUCCUUUACAAAAAAUCAUUAAGUCAUCAGCAAAUAUUAGAUGAGUGAGUUUCAACUCUUUGCACAUUGGAUGGAGUCCAAAAUCAGGCAACAGACUCAUUGUUUUAAGUGUUCUUGACAAGUACUCCAUUACUAACACAAACAACAAAGGCGAUAUAGGAUCUCCUUGCUUAAGACCUCUCUUACCAGCAAAGAAACCAUGAUUCCCUCCAUUGACUUUUACUGAAAACAUUGUAGUGGAAACACAUAGCAUAGUCCACUUAAUAAACUUUUCUGGAAACCCAAAACCUCUAAGUACUUCCUCUAAAACCUCCCAACUUACCAUGUCAUAGGCUUUCUUCAAAUCAAUUUUCAUAAGACACCUAGGUGAGGCAUUCUUCCUAUUGUAGUGUCUUAGAAUAUCGUGACAAAUCAAAACAUUAUGCAUCAUUGCUCUUCCCUGGACAAAUGCUGAUUGGUUUUUUGCUACUAUCAGAUUCACUGCUUUCUUCAAUCUGCUACAAAUCAAUUUUGAUAUGCACUUGUAUAUGACAUUACAACAAGAUAUUGGUCUAAAUUGACUGGCAAAUUCAGGUACCUCUAUCUUUGGGAUGAGUGCAAUACUUGUUGAAUUGAUUUGUCUUAGUAACUUGCUGUUUUGGAAGAAUUCCAGCACUGGCGUAGUAACAUCUUGCCCCACAAUAGACCAAGCUGCUUUGUAAAAUCCACUACUAAAUCCAUCUGGUCCAGGACUUUUAUUACUAUCAAUCUGAAACAUUGAUGUCUUUACUGCUGCUGGUUCAAACCUAUGCACUAGUUCACUCUGUUGCUCCUCAUUAAGCACCACCCCAUGACUCAUCAAUUCUCCUAUUGCUGGUAUUCUCUGCAGGGACUUCUUUCCCAGGAUAUCCUCAUAAUAUUCCACAAUUACUUUUGCAAUACUAGUAGGAUCAUAUUGCCAUUCUCCUGAUGAAUUUUUCAGUUGAGUUGUAGCAUGCUUCAGCUUCCUAUGCUUAAUAACUGAAUAAAAGUACCUAGUAUUAUCAUCACCCAACCUUAUCCAUGUUGCUUUGCUCCUUUGUUGUAAAAAUACUUCAGCCAGAUAAGAAGAGGUUCUAAAUUUCUCAUACAACUGGCUUUCCAACUGUUGAUAAUCCAAGUUGUGCGGGUUACUCUGCAAUUGUAGUUGUGCUUGUUUCCGUUUUUCUCUAUCUCCAUUGGCUUCAUUCACUAUGUUCUGGAAAGACUGUGAGUGUAGCACCUUCAGCUUUCUCUUUAACAACUUCAAUCUUCUCACCACUUUGUACAUCAUACAACCUUCUAUAUUUUCAUCCCAUCCUUCAUUCACAACAGAUUGGAAUUGUCAACGUUUGGCCCGCACAUUACAAAACUGAAAUGGCUUCCUGGUUCUGCAUUCUUCUGUUAAGAUUACUUUUGCUGGACAGUGGUCACUAAUGUUAAGAAUUCAUCACCAACUUAAUUCUUUACUUAAGAUAAAUCAAGAAAAAUCUAGAAUAUUCCGGAGGUGUAGAGAAUUGAAGGAAGAUCUCUAGAAUGAGUAUUCUAGAAAGAAUAGUCUAGAAAUGUUCUAGAAAGAAUAGUUCUAGAAAAAGAUAGUUAGGAAUAUUCUAGAAUAGAGUAGUAUGUAUCUCUCUAGAUUCUUCCAUCACCUCCUAUAAAUAGAGGUGGUCCAUUUGAGUUGUACGCAAUCAAGAAAGAAAGCAAGAAACAAAGUAAGAAAGCAAGAAAGAAAGUAAGAGAGAAAACAAGAGUGAGUGCUAAGUCAAGAGUGUUGCUGAAGCAAGCAACAAGUGUGAUCAAGAUUGUAAGACCGAAGCGGGUCCUUACUUUGAUAUAAUAAAAUUCAAGUUGUGAGAAAUCNNNNNNNNNNNNNNNNNNNNNNNNNNNNNNNNNNNNNNNNNNNNNNNNNNNNNNNNNNNNNNNNNNNNNNNNNNNNNNNNNNNNNNNNNNNNNNNNNNNNNNNNNNNNNNNNNNNNNNNNNNNNNNNNNNNNNNNNNNNNNNNNNNNNNNNNNNNNNNNNNNNNNNNNNNNNNNNNNNNNNNNCCAUUUGAGUUGUAAGCAAUCAAGAAAGAAAGCAAGAAACAAAGCAAGAAAGCAAGAAAGAAAGUAAGAGAGAAAACAAGAGUGAGUGCUAAGUCAAGAGUGUUGCUGAAGCAAGCAACAAGUGUGAUCAAGAUUGUAAGACCGAAGCGGGUCCUUACUUUGAUAUAAUAAAAUUCAAGUUGUGAGAAAUCGAUUGUGCCCGUCGUCUCCAAACCAAUAAUAUUCAACAAUUAAUACCCUCAGGUAAGAAUAACGCCUUACAUGUAGGCAUUGCAUCUAGCCAUUCUCUGUUAAUAAAAAUCCAAUCAAUUUUUGAAAAUUUUUUGUUUCCAUCAUGUUUAUCACUCCACGUAUAUCUACUACCAUGAGUAGGAAAUUCUAUCAAACCACAUUCAAGAACACAUUCAUUGAACUCCAUAAUUUCUGCCCAAACUACUGGAUUUCCUCCUAUUCUAUCAUCAGUCUUCAGUAGGGAAUUGAAGUCACCUAACACCAUCCAUGGUUUUGUACAUUUUAGACUUUGGAGUAUCAGACUUUCCCAUAAAUCCCUCCUAUCUUCCCUGCUAUUAAAAGCAUACACAUAUGUUAUCUCAAAGGAGAGUUGAAGUGGGAUAAACACUACCUCACAUGUUAUCAGUUGUGUUGUUUUGUUGAUGGGUUUUACACAAUAGUAGUCAGGAUUCCAUGUCAGCCAUAUUCUACCAUUGUAGUGAUUUUCCAAGUUGGUAGUGUACUACCAACCUGCAAACAUACUCGCAGCCACAAGUUCUAUUCUUCCACUCUUUAUUUUAGUUUCUAGUAAGCCAACCAGACUCACAUUUUCUUCAUUGCAAAGGAUCUUCACUUCCUUUUGCUUAUUGGGAGCGUUAAGCCCCCUUACAUUCCAGCUAGUAAAUUAACCACCAGACCCUAUUAUGGCCUGGCCACCCAUAAUCACUCUACUCCUUCCUUUUUCAUUAUUGUUCUGCAAUAUUUGAUAGGAAUUUGCACUUUCAAUCUGAGUUGAUCUUCUUGGAGGUGAUAUCUUCCCUGCUCGUGUAGGAGUUUGCCAUCCUUCCUUUCUACUGUUUAUCUCUUCAUCACUCUGUUUUGCUCUAGUGUUACUCACUAUCACUAUCCCUUCUUGUCGUGCUACAACUACUUUAGCUAGUUGUUGAUUAGGACUAUUUUGUACCUGUACAUUUACCCUGUCUUGUGGCAAUGGAACAGGUUUGGGAACCUUUCUCUUCACUCUACAUACCUCCUCCUCAUGACCAUAUUUAUUACAAAACUUGCAUAGUGUUGGUUUCCAAUCAUACUGAACCUGAUGCACAAUGAUUUUCCCUUUUUCAUUGAUUGUUAUUUCGGCUUAAUUUAUCUUGAUGAAUUCAUUGCGUGUGAUUUCCUGAAGAAGUAUAUUUUGUGGAUUCACAGUGAUUUGUGAAGUUGAGUGGUUUUGGACUUUCUGACUAACUUCUAGUCAUAUGCACUUAGAAGGAUACCAGGUAUCAGGUAUUUAAGUCGAGAUUACACUAAACAAUGAGGUGAUAUUUUUUAUCAGAUCAUUCGUACUAGAUUUUAGAAUACUUAUAUAUGUAAUCUAAUUAAAUGUUUUCUUAGCCCCCAUAGUAUAUCAAUUAAUAACAUUUUGAGUCCUAUAUUUAUCUUUUCUUUAUUUGUCCAUUUUCAUCACAUUUGUUUUAAUAUUUUUAUAUCUAUAACUCAUUUAUUUAUUUUCUACUCUUCUAUUUUCAUCUAUAUAAACUCAUAUUUUUGGUUUCAUAUGAUUCUAUCCAAGGAGCAAUCCUAUUAGAACGUGGAAAAGGAAUCCUUUUACAAUGACAAAACCAACAAAAAAAAGUAGUCCAAUUCUAUUAGGAAUCAAAUUCUAUUUCUUCAACUAUAAAAUAACUAGUUCGUUCCCCGGAACAAGCUUUCAUUAUGUUCUUUCUCUGGAUCACAGCCUACCAAACUAAAGUGACUUUGUUUGAUUUACUGCAAUCUGUCUUGCAAUGGAGGAAAUACUUAUAGACAUUUUGAAAAGGCCACUGGUGAAGUCACUUAUUCGUUUCAAUUGCGUCUCAAACUUUUGGAACACAUUAAUCUCUCAACCUUAUUUUAAGAAGAAGCAUCUCAAUCAUUCCAAAAGUCAAGUCAGUUCCCAAAAAUUGCUUUUUGUCCGGUGCGAUCCUAACUGUCAAUUCUGGUCUGGUUCCUUAUCCUUAAUUCCCAUUGAUUGCACUUCAAAUUCUAAUCCAAAAGAUGGUAUAAAAAUGUAUUCUAGUUGUGACGGCUUGUUUCUCAUCGGAAUUUGGACCGACCGUUAUGCCGAACAACCUUCCAUAUUAGUCAUAUGGAACCCUUCCACUAGACAAUCAAUAUGACUUCCCCAUUCUAAAUUUUCACUUCAGAUGGGAGAUCAACAUCACAAUCACAAUGAACAUAUAGAAAAUGACAACGAAAAUAUGGGAAAUUACUCUAAUAGUAUCAGUGAUGAUGAUGAUGAUAGGGGAUUUACUUAUGGAUUGGCUUAUGACUCUAAAAAUCAUGAACAGAUAGAAGAUGACGAUGAAAAGAUGGGAAAUUACUCUAAUAGUAUCAGUGACGAUGAUGAUGAUGAUGAUGAUAGGGGAUCUACUAAUGGAUUGGCUAAUAAUGACUCUAAAAAUUCAUGAACAGAUAGAAGAUGACGAUGAAAAGAUGGGAAAUUACUCUAGUAGUAUCAGUGAUUAUGAUGAUGAUAGGGGAACUACUUAUGGAUUGGCUUAUGACUCUAAACGUGAAGAUUAUAAAGUCUUAAUGAUUGACAUGUGUGGGAAUAACGACAAUGAAAUUCUCGCACUGAAAAAUGGUUCCUGGAAAAUAAUUGAUCGUAAAACCUCUGGCAGGACAGAUAGUGGUUUGUUGUGUGGUGGAGAACUUUUUGGCAUUUGUAGAUGGAGCAUUUCAUUGGCUUGGUUUCUUAUCAAAGGUUUGUGUGGUUUCAUUUAAUAUUUCAGAUGAAAUAUACGGAGAGAUAUCAUUGCCAGAGAUAGUAAGCUCCGAACUCACUCUAUUCAAGUUUGAUAACGUUGAAGUUCAUGUGGGACUAUCAAUAUUGAGAGAAAUGUUUCAUCGACAAAGAUUUUAGUUUAUGGGUAAUGAAAAAGUAUGAUAUUGAAGAUUCUUGGAUGAAAUUGUUCACUAUACCGAUUUUAGUUUAUGGGUAAUGAAAAAGUAUAAUAUUGAAGAUUCUUGGAUGAAAUUGUUCACUAUACCGAUGAAGUAUUACUGUGAAUUGGGUGACACCGGAACAUGUGGAAACAUCAUAGGUAUGUAAGAUAAUAUCUGGUGGCCAAUAUCGAAUGAUUUCUCAAGAUUAUGAUAUUGAUGCGAUUACAGUUAAUCGGGAGGGUUUUGCUUAUACCGAAACUCUCACGGACAUUAAAUUAUAUUAAAUGUUUAGGAAAUUUUUGGUUCCAAAUUGAUCUUGUUUUUUUUUAUUUACUAUUCUUUGCUAAGAAAGAAUUGAUCUAUAUUUUUCUUUUACCUGCUGUUUCUCUGCUGCUUUUAUCCGUAUGAAAGUUCCUUUUUUGUCGGGGAUUGUUUGAGUGAUUAGGAAAAAUAAUGUAUGCAUUAAUUUUGUGUAUUAUUAGUAUUUUGCGUGGUACUCUUUCAUAAUCUAUGUAUUAAUAGUUCCUUCUUUGUCUGGGAUCGUUUGAGUUAUUAGGAAAAAUAAUGCAUGCGUUAAUUUUGUUUAUUAUUAGUACCUUGUUUGGUUCUCUUUCCUAAUCUAUGUAUUAGUUAUUGUGUAUUAAGGUGGGCAUAUAUCAUGGAUUUCUAGGUAUUAGCAAUGCAAUGGUUUUUAUGCAUGCAUUAACUUAAUUAAAGACUCAAUGACCCCUCAAAACUUUUUUUACAUCUUUUCCACCAUAAUUGUGGAGGGCUUUGUGAAUAACGUUUAAUGUAAUUUUUCAACGAUACUCAUAAAACUAGAAUUCAACUUUAAGUAUACAAUGUAAUUUUUCGACGAAGGGAGUUCGAGUGACCCUCUUGAGCUCCACAUAGCUCCGACCCUGAGCCCAGGUUGAGCGCUUCACCUUGCUUAAUUAGCGUGUUAGUGUAGCUUGUAGAAGCCAAGGUGUUAAGGCAUGUGCACCUUCACCAACGAGUUCUGCCUUUGAGAAUACAACAACAUACCCAGUGUGUUCCUACAAGUGAGAUACAACACCAUAUAUAUAGUUAUAUUAUAGUUUUACCACUCUUUUGUCCGAAUAGUUAUUAUCUGUUUUUGUAGAUACAUAUUCUUGCAUUACAUUUGUAUUUUUUAUUUUCUCACUUGGCAUUUUUUCCCCAUAAAGUCCACACUUUAAUGGCACUUUGCACUUAACGGUUCAACUAUACUGGACUUCUUUACACACAUAUAUAUGGAGGUUGUAUUUUGUCUACAAACUAUAUAUAUAUAUAUAGUUAAAGGUAGGUACACCUUUUGAAAGCUAUUUUACAAUACUUAUUAGUAACAUAUUCAGUGUAAUAUCACUAAGUGUAGUCUGGAGAUAGUAGAGUGUUAACCUUCCUUUAAAUCAUUUCUAUUCAAUAUAUAGGGAUGUCAAGAAAAAUAAAAUAGCAGAGAGAAGGAAUAAUAACAAAAUAAGAAGCUUCAUACAACUUAAAUAUUGUGUUUCUUCUACAUAUGUUGAACACCUUGACAAAAUGAGAUACUUUGUUACAAUUGCCUCAACAUAUUGAUAAUUUGAGAAUUUCCAUGUGGUAGUUUCCCUUUUCCCUUUUGAGAAAAAAAGAAGUUAAAAUAAUUAAGGACUAUGAGGAUUUCUUUAAAUCCUCAGAGUCAAGGAAUGUUUCAAAUCUCCUAUAUGUAGCACAUGUAAUCCUAAAGCAACUUUCCUGUUUCCAACUUCAUCAACUACACUCAAAUGCUUGCAAACAUCUAAGUUGAACUUAACAACUCCUUCACUCUGUGGUGUCAAAUGAAUCUUUUGGAAAUCCAACAAGUGCUUUUGAGGUGCAUUGUGGACUGAGGGUGGUGAAGUGAACAACAAAACAGUGUGGCUUCCUCUCAUUUUCCCAACAUUUUGAACUUUCAAGUGGAUAUCAAAUCCCAAGUUGUUGCAGCCUUGCUCAUUAACAGAAUCAAUAGACUUGCACUUUGUCGAUCGACAAGCAUGUCCUUCCUCAAGAGGAAUGGACACAAAUUUUGGUGCUUUUACCAGGUGGUG